rnacentral:rRNA from 1 species
AACGAACGCUGGCGGCAUGCCUAACACAUGCAAGUCGAACGAGACCUUCGGGUCUAGUGGCGCACGGGUGCGUAACGCGUGGGAACCUGCCCUUAGGUUCGGAAUAACUCCCCGAAAGGGGUGCUAAUACCGGAUAAUGUCUUCGGUCCAAAGAUUUAUCGCCUUUGGAUGGGCCCGCGUUGGAUUAGCUAGUUGGUAGGGUAAAAGCCUACCAAGGCGACGAUCCAUAGCUGGUCUGAGAGGAUGAUCAGCCACACUGGGACUGAGACACGGCCCAGACUCCUACGGGAGGCAGCAGUGGGGAAUAGUGGAAAAUGGGCGAAAGCCUGAUCCAGCAAUGCCGCGUGAGUGAUGAAGGCCUUAGGGUUGUAAAGCUCUUUUAACCGGGAUGAUAAUGACAGUACCGGGAGAAUAAGCUCCGGCUAACUCCGUG